rnacentral:rRNA from 1 species
AAGGGCACCACAAGAACGCGUGGAGCAUGUGGCUUAAUUUGACUCAACGCGGGGAAUCUUACCGGGUCCGGACACACUGAGGAUUGACAGGUGCAAGGAGCCUUGGCUCUGUAAAUUUGCUAGUCCUUUCAUGAUUGUGUGAUAGGUGGUGCAUGGCCGUUCUUAGUUCGUGGAAUAAUCUGUCUGCUUAAUUGCGUUUUUUCAAUUGUGCCUUGAUGCCCAAUACGCCAAUCCGCGCUUGUUCACAGCUUAUGCCCUCGUGUGUGCAUUUCACUUCGGUGUCUUGCAUCGCGUUGUCUUGCUUGGGCAGGUCGGUGAGGUGGGUUUUCAGGGCCUUCUGGAACGAACGAGACCCCAACCCUUCUUUUUCAAUGUCAUACAACUUAUUUGUUGUUACUUUAUUUUGUCUUUCGGUCCUGUGAUGAAUACCUUUCGGGGUGGAUUUGCAGGUUAUUGGAUUUCAAUUUUACGACACUGUUAACAGAAGGGGACUGUUGCACUCAAUGCAAAGGAAGGUUGGGGCAAUAACAGGUCUGUGAUGCCCUUAGAUGUUCCGGGCUGCACACGUGCUACAAUGAUCUAUGCACUAAGCUUCUUUUAGUUCCGUAAUGUGCAUCGAGGCAUUCUCUCCUUGUGGGAGGUGUUCUUGUAUGACAUAUAUGCGGCAGACCUACUUCGAGAGCUAGUAGGUAAUCACUUGGUAAUAUAGAUUUCCUUUGCAUUUGCAGCAUCAUAGGUCCUACUUUUGUUAGGUCUCUUUUGGUGUUGCGUGUUUUCAUUUUAUGACUUCUUAGUGGGGACAGACCAUUGUUAAUUGUUGGUCUCGCUUUAACUAGGAAUGCCUUGUACAGGUGGUUCAACAGACCGCCUGGAAUACGUCCCUGCCCUUUGUACACACCGCCCGUC